rnacentral:lncRNA from 1 species
GAGAACCCCGAACAACCCAAACUGUUAAUCUUCAAUACCACUUUGUACUUACGAUCUUGUAUCCACUCACUGUCUUGUUAGAUUAACCCAAUAAAUUUUAUUCACUCCGCAUACUCAAUCCUAUAGACACCCUUUUAAUUCUUCAAUCACAGACGUAACUCGAUUUCACAAAACAAUCGAGAGUAAUCAAACCCACUUCAUUAAAAAAAAUCCUGAUUCACCAU